GUAACCCUAAAACAGGAAAAAGGCACCACGCUCCUGCAGCUGGAAGAGCGGCCGGACCGGCCAGGGCGACCUGCGGGGGGGCUCGGGGACUCACGCGUCGCGUCCCAAUCCCCGUGCGCCCCCGCCACCCCCCCACCUGCUCCCUGCGGCUCGGGUCCCGGGGUGGCCAGCGGCGCUCUCCGAGCCCACCGGGGAGGGGGGAACGCGGAGGGGGGGGGAAGGGGUGCUGCCAAGCAGGUGUCCCAUUUGCAUUCCAGUGGCAAAGGGGCGCGCCCACUGGAUCGGACAACAAAGACACCAUUGAAGCAGGUGUCCCAUUUGCAUUCCAGUGGCAAAGGGGCGCGCCCACUGGAUCGGACAACAAAGACACCAUUGAAGCAGGUGUCCCAUUUGCAUUCCAGUGGCAAAGGGGCGCGCCCACUGGAUCGGACAACAAAGACACCAUUGAAGCAGGUGUCCCAUUUGCAUUCCAGUGGCAAAGGGGCGCGCCCACUGGAUCGGACAACAAAGACACCAUUGAAGCAGGUGUCCCAUUUGCAUUCCAGUGGCAAAGGGGCGCGCCCACUGGAUCGGACAACAAAGACACCAUUGAAGCCAGGGCUCCGCCUUCCGCAGCCCAGCGGGGACCGAGGGCGGUCUCCCCGGGAGGUGUUCGCUGCCCGCCGUCCCCACCCAGAGCUCGGCCCGAUUCGGUCAUGGGUGACCGCGGGACUUCUGAGAAACGCCAGCUGGGCCCAGUUGCUGCAACUUUAGGACCGUUUCCCACAGAGAGCGCCGAGGCCCUUUGAAAGGCUGGGACAACAGCACCUCCUUCCCGCUCACCCACAGUCCCAGCCACUCUGCAGAGUUUUCGGGGACACAACUACAAGCACACGCUGCGGGAGAAAUGAUGGCCAGACCUCAAAUGCCCCAGCCAUCUCUCCGUUUCCCUGAAGCCCUGCAGACCAGAGACCUGAACAUGGCUGAUUUUUCACACUUGCUGGGCAAACUUCUCUGUUAACGUGGUCAUUUCAACGGUAUUCUUUUAAUGACUUCCAACAUUAACAUAUGAGAUGAUGUCCAGAAGGAUGGAGGGAAACUGAAAAUUCAUGUGGAGAAUGGAGAAAAGCACACUGAUAACGUCUCCCUGGCAUGGAGAUCAUUAUGGCACCAGGACGACUGAGGCUCAGGAAACUUUAGCAGAUGAUCCAGGCAGAAUGAUGACAUCGGGUAAAUGAUUCUCUCCUUGACUUUGAGUCUCUGCCACCCUGGCCAUCAUACAUAUUUUACGGACCUGCCAACAGUGCCUUCCUCUUUUUUUUGAAGAGUAUAAAGAUUAAAUUCACUUCUCUUUCCCUGAGCGCACACAGAUGGCUUAUCUGCUCUGGGGUUUUGUGUUUUCAAGCCCCUACUUGUAACCUCUCAGAACUUAUCUAAAAAUAAUCACCAAAGCUGCAAAUCCAGAUUUUCAGAUCAGGAAAUAUUCUCUGAUUUAUGAACUGUACAAGUUGGAUGUAACUGACAAAGCCUCGUCACUCAUCACAGACUAUUUCUCUCCAGCUUGCCUCUCUCCCUAUCUCUCUGUGCAUGGCUCAGAAACCCCAUUUAAGAUGAGAUUACAACAUAGCCUCUUUAACCUUAGCAGCUGGGCCAUCAGCGCUGGCCUUUGGUUCUGAGACCAGUGAAUGAGCCCCAAUGCCUGCCUAUACUGAUCAACAUGAUGUUCUUCUGAACACAGAGAUGCAGCCUGAAUUGCUUUUGGUAAAAUUCCAUUCCAGGCAAACACCUGGAUUCAUGCCACUGAUUGGACCUGUGCAGACAUUUGUCUAUCUUCUGAGAAUUAUUCUUCAAAAUGCUGGAAGACAUAAAGUUUUACGUAUCUCCAAAUCCAAAAUGAAAAAUGAGAUCUGGUUUAUGUGCUACAAAUUGAAAAGGCCUGCUACCUCUCAUACCUGUGGACCUCCUAAUCAGAAGAAUAGAAUUUCCUUUUUUAGUUUAGAAAUACCUUUUAUAGCAUUAUUCACAAUAGCCAAGAUAUGAAAACAACCUGUCUGUCAACAGAUGGACAAAGACUAUAUAUAAAAAUAUAUAUAUAAAAUAUAUAAAAUGAAUAUCUUCAUAAACUAUAUAGUUUAUGAAGAAUAGUUUUCCUUUUGCUUGAUGACUUCACAUUCUCUUUCCAAGUUUCCCAGUCAAAAGUAUGACCAACUCAACUUGGAAUAACUUCCUGCUCAUGACAGGAAGAGAAAAAAGUCCCUUUGCUUUUCCAGUGGUAGGAGGAGAUAAAUCUCCCAAGGAAAGAAAAAAAUCCUCUGGCUACACUUCCCUGACUCGAGAAAGAGCAUAACUAGGACACAGGUCUUUUGACUUUGAAUCCAUUACAUAUGCUGGACUUGCAAAUCUAACUGUCCACAGUAGCCAGAUGGGUAAUAUAAAAAUGAAGCAGGCCAUAUUUGUCUUAUAAUGGCACCUGUGGCCGCGAUAGUUCCUGCUCCCCAAAUAUUCUGUGUGCUCCCCUACAGUUAGCUUAGGACCCUGUGACUAUUUCUGACCAAUGGACCAUGCAUGGAAGCAACUGUCUCACUUCUCGGUCAGGGCUGUUGACAGCAAGGGCACACCUCCAUUUCUCUCUUCCUUCACUGCUGUGACUUUAGAUUUCAAGUCUCCCGUGUAAGAGGAAGAUAGUCCCCGAUCUACAUUCUAUAGUAUGCAAGGUAGGAAGAAAUCUAUUGUUAAGCCACUGAGAUUCUUCAAGUUUUGUCCAGAGCGGCAGCUAAUAUUAAUUACCCAAAUGUGACAUCUUAAACUGUCUACUUGAACACAGAUAUGCUUUGUUUCUCGAACAUUCCCAGUGAAACAUGUUGUCUCCUGUUUUUCUUAAAAAAAUCUAAUGCUUGCAAACCAUACAUUAGAUAUGGAGUCCAUAUCCAAAAUACAUAAAGAACUCCUGUAACUUGGGGCACGUGGUUGGUUCAGUCCGUUAAGACCCCGACUCCUGAUUUCAGCUCAGGUCAUGACCUCAGGGUCGUGAGAUUGAGUCCCGAGUUGGGCUCCUCACUGGGCAUGGAGCCUGCUUCAGAUUUCCUCUCUCCCUCUGCCCUUCCCCCCACUCAUGCUCUAUCUUUCUCUAAAAUAAAUAAAUAAAAUCUUUUAAGAAAAGAACUCAUAUAAAAUGACAACAAUAACAAAUUCUAUUAAAAAAUGGACAGAGGAACUAAACAGACAUUUUUCCAAAGGAGACAUCCAGAUGGUACACAGAAAGAUGCUCAACAUCGCUCAUCAUCACGGAAAUGCAAAUCAAAACCACAAUGCGAUAGCACCUCACACUUGUUAGAAUGUCUAUCAUUAAGAAGACAAGAGAUAACAGCUGUUGGUCAGGUUGGAGAAAAGGGAACCCUCGUGCACCAUUGGUGGGAAUGUAAAUUGGUCCAGCCACUAUGGAAAACAGUAUGGAGGUUCCUCAAAAAAUUAAAAAUAGAACUACCAUAUGAUCCAGCAUUCCACUUCUGGGUAUAUAUUUCCAAAGGAAAAUGAAAACAGGUUAUUGAAGAGAUACCUGCACCCCCAUGUUUAUUAUAGCAUUAUUCACAAUAGCCAAGAUAUGAAAACAACCUGUCUGUCAACAGAUGGACAAAGACUAUAUAUAAAAAUAUAUAUAUAAAAUAUAUAAAAUGAAUAUCUUCAUAAACUAUAUAUAUAUAUAUAUAUAUAGAGAGAGAGAGAGAGAGAGAGAGAGAGAGAAUGAAAUAUUAUUCAGCCUCAAGAAAGAAGCAAAUCGUGCUGUUUGCUGCAAUAUGGACAGACUUCGAGGUCAUUGUGCUAAGUGAGAUUAGGCAGGCAGAGAGAGGGAAACUCUGUAUGCUAUCACUUAUAUGUGGGAUCUAAAACAGCCUGGCUCACAAAAAUGGA